rnacentral:rRNA from 1 species
CCUACGGGCGGCAGCAGUGAGGAAUAUUGGUCAAUGGGCGCGAGCCUGAACCAGCCAAGCAGCGUGAAGGAUGAAUGCUCUAAGUGUUGUAAACUUCUUUUGUAAGGGAAUAAAGUGAGGCACGUGUGCCCUUAUGUAUGUACUUUAUGAAUAAGCAUCGGCUAACUCCGGGCCAGCAGCCGCGGUAAUACGGAGGAUGCGAGCGUUAUCCGGAUUUAUUGGGUUUAAAGGGAGCGUAGAUGGGUUGUUAAGUCAGUUGUCAAAGUUUGCGGCUCAACCGUAAGAGUGCAAUUGAAACUGGCAGGCUUGAGUACAGGUGAGGUAGGCGGAAUGCGUGGUGUAGCGGUGAAAUGCAUAGAUAUCACGAAGAACUCCGAUUGCGAAGGCAGCUUACUAGACUGACACUGACAUUGAGGCUCGAAAGUGUGGGUAUCAAACAGGAUUAGAUACCCUUGUAGUC